UACGAAGGGGGGCUAGCGUUGCUCGGAAUCACUGGGCGUAAAGCGCACGUAGGCGGCUUUUUAAGUCAGGGGUGAAAUCCUGGAGCUCAACUCCAGAACUGCCUUUGAUACUGAGAAGCUUGAGUCCGGGAGAGGUGAGUGGAACUGCGAGUGUAGAGGUGAAAUUCGUAGAUAUUCGCAAGAACACCAGUGGCGAAGGCGGCUCACUGGCCCGGUACUGACGCUGAGGUGCG
rnacentral:rRNA from 1 species